GGCGUUCGGACUGGCUUGGAGAGGUUGGCAACGACCACUCUGAGCCGGAAAGUUCGUCAAACUCGGUCAUUUAGAGGAAGUAAAAGUCGUAACAAGGUUUCCGUAGGUGAACCUGCGGAAGGAUCAUUACCUAGAGUUGUAGGCUUUGCCUGCUAUCUCUUACCCAUGUCUUUUGAGUACCUUACGUUUCCUCGGCGGGUCCGCCCGCCGAUUGGACACUUUAAACCAUUUGCAGUUGCAAUCAGCGUCUGAAAAAACUUAAUAGUUACAACUUUCAACAACGGAUCUCUUGGUUCUGGCAUCGAUGAAGAACGCAGCGGAAUGCGAUAAGUAGUGUGAAUUGCAGAAUUCAGUGAAUCAUCGAAUCUUUGAACGCACAUUGCGCCCCUUGGUAUUCCAUGGGGCAUGCCUGUUCGAGCGUCAUUUGUACCCUCAAGCUCUGCUUGGUGUUGGGUGUUUGUCCUCUCCUUUGCGUUUGGACUCGCCUUAAAGCAAUUGGCAGCCAGUGUUUUGGUAUUGAAGCGCAGCACAUUUUGCGAUUCUAGCCUGUAAAUACUAGCAUCCAGUAAGCCUUUUUUCACUUUUGACCUCGGAUCAGGUAGGGAUACCCGCUGAACUUAAGCAUAUCAAUAAGCGGAGGAAAAGAAACCAACAGGGAUUGCCUUAGUAACGGCGAGUGAAGCGGCAACAGCUCAAAUUUAAAAUCUGGCAGUGUAUUCUGUCCGAGUUGUAGUCUAGAGAAGCAUCAUCCGUGCUGGACCAUGUACAAGUCUCUUGGAACAGAGC
rnacentral:rRNA from 1 species